GAUGAAGAACGUAGCGAAAUGCGAUACGUAAUGUGAAUUGCAAAUUCAGUGAAUCAUCGAGUCUUUGAACGCACAUUGCGCCCCCUGGUAUUCCGGGGGGCAUGCCUGUCCGAGCGUCAUUGCUGCCCUCAAGCACGGCUUGUGUGUUGGGCCCCGUCCUCCGAUCCCGGGGGACGGGCCCGAAAGGCAGCGGCGGCACCGCGUCCGGUCCUCGAGCGUAUGGGGCUUUGUCACCCGCUCUGUAGGCCCGGCCGGCGCUUGCCGAUCAACCCAAAUUUUUAUCCAGGUUGACCUCGGAUCAGGUAGGGAUACCCGCUGAACUAAAGCAUAUCAAUAAGCGGAGGA
rnacentral:misc_RNA from 1 species